CACCCCUGGAGCCCAAGGCAGAUGCGUCCUUGCCCUCAGGGUUGCCAACAAUUCCUCCUGACAUGUGCUUCAGGCAGAAGCCCAGAUGCACCAGUGAUGCGAUGUACAGAAAUGAUUUUUCCAAUGACUGUGCCAAUGUAACUGCGGCCAAACCACCCCAGGGACCAACGGGAGCUGGUGAUGACUGUGCCAUGUUCGGGAGGUCACAUGAGGCCAGCAGAGGAUGGAAGAGACCAGCAAAAAGUAAGAUACAAAGAUGCAUAAGAGAGAUCCCCUCUCCAAGGAACCUGAAGUCUAGAGGAGGAAACAGAUGGAUAACCCCUAGCAAUGCCACGUGGUCAGGAAGGAACUAAGCAGGAAGACCAUGUCCUGUCUUGUCCACUUAGCAGCUGUGUACCUGGAGGAGCUCUUACUCCUCAACAUUGUUGCAGGAGUCAAACAGACUCAGGUACGUAAAGCCCUAGAUUGGUAAACACACA
rnacentral:lncRNA from 10 species